CCGGUGGCGAAGGCGGGUCUCUGGGCGGUAACUGACGCUGAGGAGCGAAAGCGUGGGGAGCGAACAGGAUUAGAUACCCUGGUAGUCCGCGCCGUAAACGGUGGGUACUAGGUGUGGGUUUCCUUCCUUGGGAUCCGUGCCGUAGCUAACGCAUUAAGUACCCCGCCUGGGGAGUACGGCCGCAAGGCUAAAACUCAAAGAAAUUGACGGGGGCCCGCACAAGCGGCGGAGCAUGUGGAUUAAUUCGAUGCAACGCGAAGAACCUUACCUGGGUUUGACAUGCACAGGACGCUGGUAGAGAUAUCAGUUCCCUUGUGGUCUGUGUGCAGGUGGUGCAUGGCUGUCGUUAGCUCGUGUCGUGAGAUGUUGGGUUAAGUCCCGCAACGAGCGCAACCCUUGUCCUAUGUUGCCAGCGGGUUAUGCCGGGGACUCGUAGGAGACUGCCGGGGUCAACUCGGAGGAAGGUGGGGAUGACGUCAAGUCAUCAUGCCCCUUAUGUCCAGGGCUUCACACAUGCUACAAUGGCCGGUACAAAGGGCUGCGAUGCCGUGAGGUGGAGCGAAUCCUUGUAAAGCCGGUCUCAGUUCGGAUCGGGGUCUGCAACUCGACCCCGUGAAGUCGGAGUCGCUAUAAUCGCAGAUC
rnacentral:rRNA from 1 species